rnacentral:tRNA from 1 species
GUCUCUGUGGCGCAAUUGGUUAGCGCGUUCGGCUGUUAACCGAAAGGUUGCUGGUUCAAGCCCAGCCAGCGACA